UACGUAGGGUGCAAGCGUUAAUCGGAAUUACUGGGCGUAAAGCGUGCGCAGGCGGUUGUGCAAGACAGUUGUGAAAUCCCCGGGCUCAACCCUGGGAACUGCAUCUGUGACUGCAUCGCUGGAGUGCGGCAGAGGGGGAUGGAAUUCCGCGUGUAGCAGUGAAAUGCGUAGAUAUGCGGAGGAACACCGAUGGCGAAGGCAAUCCCCUGGGCCUGCACUGACGCUCAUGCACGAAAGCGUGGGGAGCAACAGG
rnacentral:rRNA from 1 species